rnacentral:rRNA from 1 species
CCUACGGGAGGCAGCAGUGGGGAAUAUUGGACAAUGGGCGAAAGCCUGAUCCAGCCAUGCCGCGUGUGUGAAGAAGGCCUUCGGGUUGUAAAGCACUUUCAGUGGGGAAGAAAGCCUUGGGGCUAAUACCCUCGAGGAAGGACAUCACCCACAGAAGAAGCACCGGCUAACUCCGUGCCAGCAGCCGCGGUAAUACGGAGGGUGCGAGCGUUAAUCGGAAUUACUGGGCGUAAAGCGCGCGUAGGCGGUCUGAUAAGCCGGUUGUGAAAGCCCCGGGCUCAACCUGGGAACGGCAUCCGGAACUGUCAGGCUAGAGUGCAGGAGAGGAAGGUAGAAUUCCCGGUGUAGCGGUGAAAUGCGUAGAGAUCGGGAGGAAUACCAGUGGCGAAGGCAGCCUUCUGGACUGACACUGACGCUGAGGUGCGAAAGCGUGGGUAGCAAACAGGAUUAGAUACCCCAGUAGUC